rnacentral:lncRNA from 1 species
AGCGGUUUGCAAGGGGCUCUUGGGCCUUUGGCCACAGACUGAAGGCUGCACUGACCAUUUUCCUACUUUUGAGGUUUUGGGACUUGGACUGAGCCGCUACUGGCUUCCUUGCUCUUCAACUUGCAGACAGCCUGUAGUGGGACUUCACCUUGUGAUCAUGCUGCUGACUAACUUAAUGAACUGAACGGAUUAAAAUGGUGCAAGAGAAAAGGGCAUUUUUACACAAAAGGAAGCAUUUUCUGUGUUCCAGUUCAGCUGUUCCAAUGACAUUUGGUGGUGUUAUCAGUGUGAAUUAUACAAGCAAGUUUCUUUAUCCAGACUGACGCAUCAACCAUGAUCUAGCAUUUGCAAGAUGUGUAAUUACUUUGACUUUCAAGAAAACAUCUUCUGAUCUAAGGAACUUCCCAAGAUAUCAAAGCUGGCUGGCUCAGGAAUACUCUCACAGUGAUGGCAGAAGAGCAAAUCUGGAAGUUCAAACACUCAAAUGUGUUGUUGGAUUUCUGCAUGCAUCACAUGGGCUAACAACUGGUCAAAGCAAAUCACAUGGCCAAACUAAAAAUCAAAGGCCUGGAAGGUAGACCCUACUUUUCUAUUAAGAUGAACUGCCUAGUAACAUAGGAAAAGGUGGUGAAACCAUGAAAGAUGAAAAAUACAGGGCUGCAAUGUUAUCUACCUCAUUUAUUUUGAUACUCUAGACCUAAGGGGAGUAGUGGAUUAACACGGGUACUAGUCUCUGGGUGUUGUGCCAUCUGUUGUUGGUUUCCUUAACGAUGACAAACUUAUAAGUAUAUUCUUUCAACUAAAUUCAUUUGAGUAUAAUGUUUUCAAGACAAUGGAUUGAUAUACAGUAGACAUAGCUUAUGUAAACAACCUGUGUAUCAAUCCUGUUGACUUAGGCUUUUACCAAUAGUUGUUUUCUAUCGAACCUUCAUUAAAGCUCCACAUGGUUAAUAAUCCAGGGUCUCUUUCAUGUAGCUUCAUCUCCGUUGUUUUAAGUUCUCUAAUUUUAGGAAGUCCAUGGUUUUAUAUUAAGCUGAUAUGGUUAUGCUUAAAACCAGCAUGGGACCUGGAGAAUGACACACAAGAUAUCCAACCAAUGUAGUUUUUUAUGUAAUUUCUCUUGUUUGAAUAGAUGUACCAUUCAUACUUCUACUACUGUAGAGACGGGUUCACAGGUAGGUAGUGACUAGGAGACAUCUACUUUGAAAACUAAUAAAAAUAUUUGGCUGUCUAAAAAAUAUGCACUACCCAAAUCAGUGCAGUAUAGGGUAAAUAAUUUUAAAAAGAAUGUUAGGGAGCAAAUUCUUGGUGGUUUCUUACAUUUAUGCAUUAUCUUACAAAUGAGGACACAUUUGUACCUUUUUCCAAACUGUGUUUUUAAAAGUGUUUGUAUAAGAGCCUUAGAAAAUAUAGAGUAUCUACUUUUGAAGAGCAAAAAAUAAACAUUCUAACUGAACAGUUAAAAAUAAUGGGCAUACAUAAACUCGGGAUUUUUCUGCAGUAAGGAAGCUUACCGCUUAUGCAGGUUUAACUAUCCCUCUUCACAUUACCCUGUGAAAACUGGGUCUCAGAAACUGGUGCAGAAAUGCCAGUACUCUAGCUAUGCUGAUUGUUGAUAAUAAAAAACUCUUCUUUGUAUCUGAUUCAGGAGUCUUUUAUCUUCUACUGUAAUUCAUACAAUUUUGAAAAGAUACCUACUUAGAUUUCUCGUAGGGUAAAAACUUUCUAAUCUUUCACAGUCCUUAAACACAGCUAUACAUUUUCUACUUGAAUUCCUUAAAUAACCACUUACUUUGAGCACAAACCAUGAUCAAGACAAUAUUAUGCACAUUGUAAUUUAUUAGAACUUGCUUUCCACGAAUUUUAAAAUGUCAUGUAAAAUAUAGAUAUAUUGAAAAGUUUUGUUAAACACACAUAUUCUAUGCAAAUGGAGAAAUUGAAAUUUUAUGAUGUUAUAGCUUAUGUUUAAAGUCACUCAGUAUCUCAGCUUUUUCAUCUGUAAAAUGACAUUAAUAGUAAUAACUAUUUUGUAGGGUGUUAAUUGGUAUAAAUUUUGAAAGUACAUAGGGUUUGAUAAAUGCAGUGCUAAGUGAAGGUUUUCAGUGAGGAUACAUUUUAUAACUGUUAAGUGUAUGGACACAGGCAGGAGUCAAAUUGCCUAGUAGUCCAUCUUUAAAGCAUAUACUAUGUUUCUUCUUAAAAAUUAUGAUAUUUAUUUUAUUUACAUAUUAUAUCUGUUUUUAACAUCCUUGAAAUUUUAUGUUUUAUAUAUAGUUAUGCACAUAUUACAUUUUGUUUACAUAGCUAUAUAAAGUCAAGUAAUGAUAAGAUUAAGACAUCUUUAUCCUGAACUAUCUAACUGUUAUUUACAGACAGACAAAGUGCUAUAUUGAAGGUUACAGAAGAAUAAAGAAGUUCUGAAUAGAACAGAAGCUUUCAUAAGGCAGGGGUUAUAACGACCAACAGAGACUCCACAAAACCAUUUACUCACAAGAGAAAAUAUGGCACGGAUUGGAUUAGAAGUGGAAAGACUAAUGCAUUUUUGUCCAUAAGGAUUAGAAGAAAAAUGGUUCUCUCAGCUCUGCAAGUGAGCACAACAAGCAAUCCAAAAGCAUUAUUUGUGUGAAGCAGUUUGUAGAAUUUGUUCCAUUUGUCACUAGAACUAGUGUUUGAAGCUCAGCAAAAGUUGAGUUAUGGUUAAGCCCCAGGGUCAGUGGCCACGUGUUCAGAGUAGUACCUUAGGUUUAAAGCUGAUUCACAACCUGAAAAACACUCAGUGGUGUUCUCUCCCAAAUUAUCAAUCAUUACCUUGUGGUGUUUUAAAAAGAGGAUAGAAGAUUGCUUGACC